GGCCGAUUACAAUGAAUGCAGCUAGAAUGUUCAUCUCCAGGAAUCUCCUCUCCAGCUGAAUCCAACGGAUGGUUCCGUUGCAUUCAUCCACCGGGAGGUCUUGAAAGAUAGGCGACAGUACGGGCUGUCCCACGACCCAGAGCUAAUGGUGAAUUCAUCCCUGUGGGUGCUUCUACGAGAUGAUGGUCUUGUGGAAGUGUGAGCAGUGGACAGGAGCAUAGCAGGGGAUGUGGAAAACAGUGCAGAGGCUGUUGAUGAUUCUGGCAUUGAGGAUCCUGCUCAGAGUGUUGGUCAGAAAUGGAGGGAAAUACAGACAGCUGUGGAGAGUAAGGCCGUAUUCAGACCAAAUCAGGCGGGGCGGUGAAAACGUCAGUUGUCCCAUUCAUUUGAAUGGAGGUAGUGCAUUUCGUCUGCGGCUGUUUUGGCUGCUGCGACGCCGCACCGGACUGCAGCUGGAAAGUUGAGCCAGAGUCAACUUUUGGAGAAACGCAAUCUGACGUCACUGUGGCUGAAGGCUGCAGUGGCCAACCACAGCCGGAGAUCAGAACGGUCAGAGUUGUAAACUCUACCAUGAGGGAGUACAAAGACAUUACUAGAAGGAGGGGAGGACAUUUCUCUUCAUUUGAUAAUGUUAAAAGUAAAGUAAACUGUGCUGUUGGCUACCCGACUCAUUAUAAAAAGAGAUGAGAGAAAAAGAGAGAGAGAGAGCUGAGAGCAGGUGAGAGAGAGAGAGAGA